CAUGCAAAUAUCCGUAAGCCAGUGAGUUCAGCCCUAUGUUUUCUACAGACUACAAGGAGCAAGUAUAAAGCACGCGUGCCCACACACGCAGCUAAAGACACUAAGUCCAACCACACCCCCACGGGAUACAGCAGUGAUAAAAUUUAAGCAAUGAACGAAAGUUUGACUAAGUUAUGCUGACUUCAUAGGGUCGGUAAAUUUCGUGCCAGCCACCGCGGUCAUACGAAAGACCCAAGUUAAUAUUCCAACGGCGUAAAGAGUGCUAAAAUUCUAACAUACAAUAGAGCCAAGACUUGACUUCGCUGUAAAAAGCCAAAGUCAAAGCAAAGAUAAACAACGAAAGUGACUCUAAUUUUUGCAGCACUAAAGCUAUAACCUAAACUGGGAUUAGAUACCCCACUAUAUAUAGCCAUAAACAUAAAUAGUUCACAACACUACUAUUCGCCAGAGAACUACAAGCCACUGCUUAAAACUCAAAGGACUUGGCGGUGCUUUAUAUCCAUCUAGAGGAGCCUGUUCCAUAAUCGAUGAUCCCCGAUCUACCUUACCACUCCUUGCUAAUUCAGCCUAUAUACCGCCAUCUUCAGCCGACCCUAAAAAGGAAACAAAGUAAGCUAAAAGAGUAAUCACUAAAGAAGUUAGGUCAAGGUGUAGCCUAUGAAGUGGAGCGAAAUGGGCUACAUUUUCUAACCCUAGAACAUUACGAAACCCUAUGUGAAACCCAUAGGAUAAAGGAGGAUUUAGUAGUAAAUUAAAACUAGAGUGUUUAAU
rnacentral:rRNA from 1 species